rnacentral:tRNA from 1 species
GGAAGUGUGGCGGAAGUGGUUUGAAGGCAGCGGUCUUGAAAACCGCCGAAGGGAGACCCUUCCCAGAGUUCGAAUCUCUGCGCUUCGCCA